CACCUGUGCUGUGCUGGAGUAUGGCUCCACCUGGUCGAUGGAUGGCGAAGAUGGGGUGUCUGUGGGGAGGACACAUGGAGAACCAGCUGACAGAUCUGUGCUGCCCAUCCUGGUGGCUAUUUUCAUAUACUUUACUCAGCAGUCUGCAUUAUGGCCAUCAAGGGCGUGAAGCCAUUCCUGCACGUCUCUCUAAAGAACUGGCCUGACCUUCUUGUCACUACUAUUUGCUCAAAACAAAGCAGAACUGAAGGCAGAGGGGAUGUGCAGUCUACACCUGGCCUUUCCGAUCAUAAGAGAUGCCAACUAUCAGGUAGAAGUGCUAAGGCCUUCCGGAGGUGACAGAGUGAAACUUGCCAUAGCCCAAGCCUUUUGCACUCAUUCGGAUUUAGGAUUUUCAUCUCUGAAUGAGACAAAUCGGAGAGAAUGGAACUUCUGAGCCCCAUGGGCUGCAUUCACUUGAAAGUCAAUUAUGUCCAAAGUGCAGCGUUCAAGAUAAAGACACUUCAGAAAAAUGGAGUGCUAUGUCUGCUUUCCUGGGAGUAAACCUAUUAUUUCCACCUAUAAUAAUAACUCUCUUAACAUCUCCUUAAUGCUCCCUGAUAAAUCUCAGCUCCUUCUCUAACCAGGUCUAGACUAGAAUGACAGGGUAAAAAUGUACAAGGCAGAGCAGAAUGAGAUCCAUCGCUGCUAAAGACUGGCCGAUAAUUAACCUUUCUUCUCUCCCUUCCCCAGUCCCAAGGGGUCCAUGUCUCUGGGGCAAUAAAACAUCCAACCCGUGACAGCACUAAGGAGUUCCUGAGCUAUAGGAGGGAAGCAUUUCAGUGAGGGCAUACGUUUAACUGUAUUUCUCUACCACACUGGUAAGGAAUGUUACAGAGAGAGCGUAUAAAGAACUAGACUUGAGGAGGGCAGAGGGCAGCAUGUCCGUGUGCAGAAACUAAUAUCUGUGCCUGGGGACAGGCGGUCAACUUUUAAAUAAUAACCAGCAUUCAAUAUGUAUUCUAUGACCUGAACACAUGAGGUAUGUGUUCUGAAUAGUUAUCAUUUCCAAAAGACCAAAAUAAUAGAUUUGCAGAAUUAAAACACAGAAUUUAUAGGAUCUUCUGAGUUUAUGGUUUUAUAACAGCAGAGCUUCAUAUAGAGAAAGAAACAGAAGCUACUCAACAAAAAUAUUUAUAUAUUAGAUCCUUGAACUCCAUCUAGGAUAGGAUAGAUUUAUUAUUUGUCACUUAGUCACACUAAUCAGGUAAAAAGUGACGGGCAUGACCAUGCAUAGGGUCUUGGAGUGCAGCAGUUAAAAUCUAAAGGUCAAUGUUUAGCUUCAGUUUUCAAAUUAAGUCCCACACUACUUGAACUGAAGCAAGUAG